rnacentral:lncRNA from 1 species
AUGUAUUAUGUAGCAAUUGAGAACUAGGCCCUGGGCUGAGUUUCAUUUCAUCCUAUGAGGUGGGUACUGUUACUGUCCCCAUUCUACACAUGUGGAAACUGAGGCACUUAGAGGCUACGGGACUUUUCUGAGGUCAUGAUUUAUAGGCGUGUGUUCCUGAGCUCUCAUUCACUGUCCACAGCCCAACACAUGGCCUAAAAACAACAGAUACGAUGAAAGAGAUCUUGCCUGCAGAUGAAAGCAAGAGGGAAACCGGCCUCCCCCAGCCCUGGCCUGGCCCUGGGCCCACUGCACAUUGUGGUCAAGGCAAAGUCAGGGCUGGGACGUCUGGAGAAGGCCAGAAGGCUCCUGCCCACCCAUGGGCCUGGGGCUUCCAGGGGCCCUGGUGCAAAGCCUCGGAUGAAGUACUGGGGGAGGCAAAAGGAAAUGGAGGCCCUGUUUCUGGGGGCAAUCGGCUGGCAUGCCAGGAAGGGGGCCUUGGCAGAGCCUAGAGUCAGACAGGGUGAUGACAAAUGACCCCGGGGCCCCUCCAGCACCGCCCCUGGGGACUCUGCCUUGCCCACUCUACUCCAGCCACUCAGGCUUCCUUCUGUUCCUUGAAACUCAGCAAGCUCAUCUCCCUCCACCCCAGGGCCUCUGCACACAGUGCCCACACCGCCGGAAUGCUCUCCUCCGCACCCUCCCGAGACCUCCUCGGCCUUCAGGUUUCAGAUUGAAUGAUGCCUCCUCCAAGAGCCUCCGACUGGUGACCCAAUCCAUUCUCCAAUCCAGCCCUCUGUUUUCUUAAUGUACUUGGCACACUUUAUAAUCAUUUGUUGUAGUGAUUAUAGGUGAUUUAAUAAAUUAACAUUUUCAUAUCA